rnacentral:lncRNA from 11 species
GUUCCUUCACUUUGCACUUGGAGUGCCUCUGGUGUUGCUGCAAGAAAAUCCUCCACUGUGCAUGUGGCAGGGCUCAGGCUGCAUUGUAACAUAGCAUGAGUUGAGUCAUAGAAAAGAAGACCUUUGGAAAAGUCGAAGGCAGUAAGGAAACAGAAAGACUACCCU